UGACUGUCAGGCCACCUUAAGCCACAGUACGGAAGAAGCUGUGCUGCCUGUGAGCCCCGUCCAAGGACGUUAAAAGAAGAAGUCAGGCCCCAAAGCCACGGUUUGAGCAAACCGUGCUGCCUGUAGCUCCGUCGUGGGGACGUGAAAACCUGGGAGGCUGCAAACUGUGGAAGCUGUACGCACGGUGUAGCAGACUAGUGGUUAGAGGAGACCCCUCCCAUGACACAACGCAGCAGCGGGGCCCGAGCACUGAGGGAAGCUGUACCUCCUUGCAAAGGACUAGAGGUUAGAGGAGACCCCCCGCAAACAAAAACAGCAUAUUG
rnacentral:lncRNA from 1 species